UGGGGAAUAUUGCACAAUGGGGGAAACCCUGAUGCAGCGACGCCGCGUGAACGAAGAAGGUAUUCGUAUCGUAAAGUUCUGUCCUAUGGGAAGAUAAUGACAGUACCAUAGGAGAAAGCUCCGGCUAAAUACGUGCCAGCAGCCGCGGUAAUACGUAUGGAGCGAGCGUUGUCCGGAAUUAUUGGGCGUAAAGGGUACGCAGGCGGUUUAAUAAGUCGAAUGUUAAAGAUCGGGGCUCAACCCCGCAAAGCAUUGGAAACUGAUAAACUUGAGUAGUGGAGAGGAAAGUGGAAUUACUAGUGUAGUGGUGAAAUAAGUAGAUAUUAGGAGGAAUACCAGUAGCGGAGGCGACUUUCUGGACACAAACUGACGCUGAGGUACGAAAGCGUGGGGAGCAAACAGG
rnacentral:rRNA from 1 species